rnacentral:sRNA from 1 species
UAUGAUUGCAGAUGAGCGUGAUGUCUAC